CUGUGAAGAGAACAAUUCUCACACUGAAUGUUGAACAGCAGCUGCUUUCUCCUGUUGCUUUAAACCUUGUUGUACAGAUGGAACUUUGGCUGUGGAUUAUUCUUGCUGCUCUUUUCUUUGAGUGUAAAGGACAAGACAAAGUGAACCAGCCAACAGAGGAUGUCAUUGCUACUGAAGGAGACUCAGUUACACUUGGAUGUACAUUUGAGACAAGUGCCUCAAGUCAAACUUUGUUCUGGUACAAACAGGAAGCAAACGGUUAUCCAAAGUACAUGCUGAGAUGUUUCUCUAAAACAGUCGAUCAUGCUCCAGAGUUUGAAAAGGACAGAUUUAAUGCUACAAUUGAGAACAAGUCGGUUCCUCUGAAGAUCCAGAAGCUUCAGCUGUCUGACUCUGCUGUGUACUACUGUGCUCUGCAGCCCACAGUGACAGGAAACACCAAAACUCUGUACAAAAACCUUUGGAGCAAAGACAACAGAAUACUCCACAACAUCCACUAGAGGGAGUCACACACUGUUACACUGCAACUAUUCAGGCUCUGCUGACAACCUCUUGUGGUAUCAAGUCCAGUUCAUCUCCACAGCUUCUCCACAGAGUCACUUUACUGUCAGACAGGAUUGUGAUGUGUCAGGAAUCACAGCCACACUUGGCAUUUUAUUCAGACUUGUCUUCAUGAUAAACUCACUCCCAGCAUCUCUGUGGGAAUCUUUCCUGCACAAAGUGGCACAUGAUCAGACAUCAUCAACAUCAACCAAAUCAAACAUCAGCAAGUGUGUUGAUGAUGUGGUGCUGAUCACACACAACAAAAUCAAUCUCCAUCAGAAAGCCUGGAUGAAUGGAGAGAUGAGGGCUCCAUCCAGACCCAAUGAAGCUGUCUUUUGGACAGGUCCACCAAUCAGCUGUGACAUUGUUACCACUGACAG